rnacentral:misc_RNA from 1 species
AACUUGUUGCAAUGGAUCUCUUGGCUCUCGCAUCGAUGAAGAACGCAGCGAAAUGCGAUAAGUAAUGUGAAUUGCAGAAUGCAGUGAAUCAUCGAAUCUUUGAACGCAUCUUGCGCUCCUUGGUAUGCCGAGGAGCAUGCCUGUUUGAGUGUCAUUUCUAGUUCUCGACUGCGUCGAUUUCUUAUUGAUGUGGCUUGGAUGUGGGGGAUUUAGCAGGCUUUCUGUCAAAGGAGGUCGGCUCCCCUGAAUAAUAUUAGUGGUAUCUGAGCUACUCCAGGUGUGAUAAUUAUCUAUGACUUCAGUAUGCUAUUGCACUGCUUCCAACGAGUGAGAACGUCUCUCUCACAUUUGACGAAUUUGACCUCAAAUCAGGUAGGACUACCCGCUGAACUUAAGCAUAUCAAUAAGCGGAGGCU